rnacentral:ncRNA from 1 species
UUAAAUGCUAUGAAAAGAAAUAGUAAAAGUAACUAUCUUUAACAGAGAGCUACCGUUUGGUGAGAGGGGCAAUUGAUUUUACUUUGAACACAUCUUUGAGCUGAACACCGAAAAGAAAUUCUCUUAGUAGGCUGAUUCCGGAUUCCCUGCACCCGUUAUAGUGCUAGAGUAUAAGCAAAUAUUUUUUGCCGUACUCAAAGAGGUUGGUAUCGUGAGAUAUUAAUAAAAUAGAGGUGGAACCACGUGAGAUUUAACUCCCGUCCUCUAG